GACCAAGCCGCUGCGCGCAGGGCACGGCGGGAGAUGAGGCCGCGGGAUUUGCGGCCGUACUUCAUCUCCCGGCGGGCCCAGCGCUGAAGGCGGUGGCGCGACGCCUUUGUGGAAGCCGGAGCCCACCGGGAGGAAGUUCCGGUCUCCGGGACGCUGGGUCCGUGGCGGCCACUGAGGAGGAGGAGCGGGCCGCGGGGGUUACGCUGCUUUGGUACCACCCUGCUAGAAUUUGGUAGGAAAAAGAUCUACCUAUUGAAGCUUUCUUGACAUAGAAAGAGAUGUGGGGAGAUUCUCGAUCUGCUAACAGAACAGGACCUUUUCGGCUGGCCUUGAACUGGAGGUGAGACUCCUACCUCAGCAUGAAUUACUUGAGUUAUAGGGCUUGGUACUCCGGAGAAGACGGCUUCUUGGGAAAGAGUGCUUGCUAUUAAGUUCAAGAAGACCUAAGUUUAAAUCCCUAGUACAUAAAUAAAGACAAACAAACAAAAUAAAACAUGUUUUUGUAUUCCGUGUUGGGUGGAAAUUGAAGUGUUCUGGAAGCCCGGUCCGUUAGCCUAGCUGAAACUGUAAACUUCAGAUUCAGUGAGAAA